GGAGGAUUUACCGGACAUCACCCAUUAUCGAUACGUCAGCGUCGCUCCAGACGACUACGACGGCUCCAUCUCCCUUACAGUGAACACUCACUCAAACAUUCUGGCUGUAAUCAACCUUUUUCGUCAACUGCUUAUGAAACGGUAAAAGCGACAAGUCUAGAAAGCCUUUAAGACAGCGCCUAAAAUUGCCCUCAAUUGGCGGUGCUUUUAAAGACGGUUUCUAAAACGGACGUUUACAUACCUAAUCCUGAGGAGCUCCAAGGGACAAGAAGGGAUGUGCGAAUCAAACCGGCAAUGUUCCACGACGACGACAAUUCGGGCUCGCGUUUGACUCCGGAUUGAUUAACCAAGAUCGAGCCCCAGGACUAGCAAUCGACGACUGUCGAAGGAAAUUGCGGCUCCAAUGAACAUGGC